rnacentral:rRNA from 1 species
GGCGAAGCCUGAUCCAGCCAUGCCGCGUGUGUGAAGAAGGCCUUUUGGUUGUAAAGCACUUUAAGCGAGGAGGAGGAGCUUCAGGUUAAUACCCUGGAUGCUUGGACGUUACUCGCAGAAUAAGCACCGGCUAACUCUGUGCCAGCAGCCGCGGUAAUACAGAGGGUGCAAGCGUUAAUCGGAUUUACUGGGCGUAAAGCGUGC